rnacentral:rRNA from 1 species
UGGGGGAUAUUGCACAAUGGAGGAAACUCUGAUGCAGCAACGCCGCGUGAAGGAUGAAGGUCUUCGGAUUGUAAACUUUGUACUUGGGGACGAUAAUGACGGUACCCAAGCAGCAAGCUCCGGCUAACUACGUGCCAGCAGCCGCGGUAAUACGUAGGGAGCAAGCGUUGUCCGGAUUUACUGGGUGUAAAGGGUGCGUAGGCGGCUAUGCAAGUCAGUUGUGAAAACUAUGGGCUCAACCCAUAGCCUGCAAUUGAAACUGCGUGGCUUGAUGAAGUAGAGGUAGGUGGAAUUCCCGGUGUAGCGGUGAAAUGCGUANAGAUCGGGAGGAACACCAG